rnacentral:rRNA from 1 species
UGGGGAAUAUUGGACAAUGGGCGAAAGCCUGAUCCAGCCAUGCCGCGUGAAUGAUGAAGGCCUUAGGGUUGUAAAGUUCUUUUGUCAGGGAAGAUAAUGACGGUACCUGAAGAAUAAGCACCGGCUAACUUCGUGCCAGCAGCCGCGGUAAUACGAAGGGUGCUAGCGUUGUUCGGAAUUACUGGGCGUAAAGCGCGCGUAGGCGGCUAUUCAAGUCAGAGGUGAAAUCCCCAGGCUCAACCUGGGAAUUGCCUUUGAAACUGUAUAGCUAGAGUGUCGGAGGGGAUAGCGGAAUUCCUAAUGUAGAGGUGAAAUUCGUAGAUAUUAGGAGGAACACCGGUGGCGAAGGCGGCUAUCUGGACGACAACUGACGCUGAGGCGCGAAAGCACGGGGAUCAAACAG